AUGGAGUUCUGCAUCUGCCUGCUGCUCACCAUCCUCGGCUACAUCCCCGGCAUCAUCUACACGGUCUACAUGCUCAUCGCGCUCGGCUCGGAGGAGCGUGACAGGGACUACCACACCCUUGCCUGA
rnacentral:rRNA from 1 species